rnacentral:rRNA from 1 species
GAUGAACGCUGGCGGCGUGCUUAACACAUGCAAGUCGAACGAUGAACUUGGAGCUUGCUCUGGGGGAUUAGUGGCGAACGGGUGAGUAACACGUGAGUAACCUGCCCUGGACUCUGGGAUAACUUCGAGAAAUCGGAGCUAAUACCGGAUAGGACCUUGCACCGCAUGGUGUGGGGUGGAAAGUUUUUCGGUUUGGGAUGGACUCGCGGCCUAUCAGCUUGUUGGUGAGGUAAUGGCUCACCAAGGCGUCGACGGGUAGCCGGCCUGAGAGGGUGACCGGCCACACUGGGACUGAGACACGGCCCAGACUCCUACGGGAGGCAGCAGUGGGGAAUAUUGCACAAUGGGCACAAGCCUGAUGCAGCAACGCCGCGUGCGGGAUGACGGCCUUCGGGUUGUAAACCGCUUUUAGUAGGGAAGAAGCCUUCGGGUGACGGUACCUGCAGAAAAAGGACCGGCUAACUACGUGCCAGCAGCCGCAGUAAGAC